GGCUUCUUAAGCUUCUGAAGCUGGAAUUUUUAUCCACCUUCCUUAUUUUAUUAUUUUUUAAUUAUUUGUAUUGCAAUUCUUAGCUAAGGAUGUAUCCUUGAGAUUCAACUUUCAGUAGGAUUAGCAUGCCAUGAAUGUGAAUCAUUUCUUGGUUUCUUUUCUACUGAACCUUUUAUGGAAUAAGUGUAUUUAGAUCCAAUCGGAAGUGGGUUUAAUCUCUAGGGAUGGGAAAAACUAUUAUAUUCCAG
rnacentral:misc_RNA from 1 species